AUGGAUGUGAACGAGUGGAUGAAUUAUGGAUGUUCAGAUGAGGGUACAUAUAUACAGAACAUCCAUACCUCAUCUACUCGUUCACAUCCAUCAGAACACGAA